rnacentral:lncRNA from 1 species
CCUUCAUUUCGUAUUUUAUUUUAUUCUAGGGACCAGUUUUGUGCCUAUGGUAAAAGCGUUCAAAAUCAUGGAGCAACGUCAUUUGGAAUGAUGGGAACAUGUUAAAAUCACCAUAAAUAUAAAGCAUGUCUUGAAAAUUAAUAAAAAUAAAUUUGCUUUAGGUCCAAAAAAAAUAUCUUUUUUUAUGUAUCCGUUCUUCUUCUCUCAGUCUUAUCCUUAGUGGUAUUGUUGUAACAGAAAAACAUCAGAGUCAAGGAUAGUUCAUAUAUAAUAAUGGUAAUUAUGUGGACUAGAGUCACCAUAAUGUUCUACAUUUUCAAGCUCAAUUGUUACACAUUUUUAUGUUAUUUCGGUCUACUACUUUACCAUAUAAUCUAGUGACAACUCUAUAUUUAUAACAUAUAUAUAAUUAGGAGUUUCAUUAUUGAACUCCUAUAUGUUCUAAAUUAUAAUGGAAACGUACAUAAACUGUAAAUUAUAACAAAAGGGGUGUCAACAUCGAAAUUUAUUUAAAUAAUUCAUGCUUAUGAUUCAUGAUUGAAGUCUUGACUUCAAGCUAAAGAAUCAGACUUUGCUGGCUGCUAUCUACCAUUUCAUUUAA